UACGGAGGGGCUAGCGUUGUUCGGAAUUACUGGGCGUAAAGCGCGCGUAGGCGGACCUGCAAGUCGGGGGUGAAAGCCCGAGGCUUAACCUCGGAACUGCCUUCGAUACUGCGGGUCUCGAGUCCGGGAGAGGUGAGUGGAAUUCCUAGUGUAGAGGUGAAAUCGUAGAUAUUAGGAAGAACACCAGUGGCGAAGGCGGCUCCACUGGCCCGGUACUGACGCUGAGGCGCGAAAGCGUGGG
rnacentral:rRNA from 1 species